rnacentral:tRNA from 1 species
GGAGGGCUAGUCCUAACUGGUAAGGCAGCGGACUUGAAAUCCGCCUCCCGUAAGGGAUUGGGGGUUCGAAUCCCUCGCCCUCCG